AUUGAACGCUGGCGGCAGGCCUAACACAUGCAAGUCGAGCGGAUGAAGGGAGCUUGCUCCUGGAUUCAGCGGCGGACGGGUGAGUAAUGCCUAGGAAUCUGCCUGGUAGUGGGGGAUAACGUCCGGAAACGGGCGCUAAUACCGCAUACGUCCUGAGGCAGAAAGUGGGGGAUCGUCGGACCUCACGCUAUCAGAUGAGCCUAGGUCGGAUUAGCUAGUUGGUGGGGUAAAGGCCUACCAAGGCGACGAUCCGUAACUGGUCUGAGAGGAUGAUCAGUCACACUGGAACUGAGACACGGUCCAGACUCCUACGGGAGGCAGCAGUGGGGAAUAUUGGACAAUGGGCGAAAGCCUGAUCCAGCCAUGCCGCGUGUGUGAAGAAGGUCUUCGGAUUGUAAAGCACUUUAAGUUGGGAGGAAGGGCAGUAAGUUAAUACCUUGCUGUUUUGACGUUACCAACAGAAUAAGCACCGGCUAACUUCGUG
rnacentral:rRNA from 1 species